AACGAACGCUGGCGGCAUGCCUAACACAUGCAAGUCGAACGAGACCUUCGGGUCUAGUGGCGCACGGGUGCGUAACGCGUGGGAACCUGCCCUCAGGUUCGGAAUAACUCCCCGAAAGGGGUGCUAAUACCGGAUAAUGUCUUCGGACCAAAGAUUUAUCGCCUUUGGAUGGGCCCGCGUUGGAUUAGCUAGUUGGUAGGGUAAAAGCCUACCAAGGCGACGAUCCAUAGCUGGUCUGAGAGGAUGAUCAGCCACACUGGGACUGAGACACGGCCCAGACUCCUACGGGAGGCAGCAGUGGGGAAUAUUGGACGAUGGGCGAAAGCCUGAUCCAGCAAUGCCGCGUGAGUGAUGAAGGCCUUAGGGUUGUAAAGCUCUUUUACCCGGGAUGAUAAUGACAGUACCGGGAGAAUAAGCUCCGGCUAACUCCGUG
rnacentral:rRNA from 1 species